AGCAGCCGCGGUAAUUCCAGCUCCAAUAGCGUAUAUUAAAGUUGUUGCAGUUAAAAAAGCUCGUAGUUGAAUUUCGGGAUCAAUAUAUUGGUCAUGCUUAGGUAUGUACUGGUAUUAUUGAUUUCUCCCUUCUGAAGAACCAUGAUGUCAUUUAUUUGGUGUCGUGGGGAAUCAGGACUGUUACUUUGAAAAAAUUAGAGUGUUUAAAGCAGGCUUUCGCUUGAAUACAUUAGCAUGGAAUAAUGAAAUAGGACGUUUGAUUCUAUUUUGUUGGUUUCUAGGAUCGACGUAAUGAUUAAUAGGGAUAGUUGGGGGCAUUAGUAUUCAAUUGUCAGAGGUGAAAUUCUUGGAUUUAUUGAAGACUAACUACUGCGAAAGCAUUUGCCAAGGAUGUUUCAUUAAUCAAGAACGAAGUUAGGGGAUCGAAGACGAUCAGAUACCGUCGUAGUCUUAACCAUAAACUAUGCCGACUAGGGAUCGGACGAAGUUAAUUUAUAAUGACGCGUUCGGCGUCCGUUAACCGGG
rnacentral:rRNA from 1 species